rnacentral:lncRNA from 1 species
GAAGAUCUCUCUCUGCCAUGAAGUAAAGAUUUCAAUGGGUUUUUGGCUUGAAUAUUUUGCUCAAGAUCACGCAGUUCAUUCAUAUACAAUGCAUCGAAGUACUCGUCUAUCAUUAUACAAGGCCCAGUUUCUAUUGAGUUGACGCGGAGGAGAGAAAAAGUGAGGGAAGGGUGAUACUGAUGAAGAAAGAAGAAGAAGAGAUAGACUUGUACCUUGAUGCAUUGCUUAUGAGCAGAACGCGUGAUCUUGUGCAGAGUAUACAACCCUAUCUCCCUCGAAGCAACUUAUUCAUGUUUUCUUUGUUUUGUUUUCUGGAUUACUGCAAUGCUUUUAUGGCUGUGUGAGUUGAUAAUGUGUGGUACCAUUUGAAGGACAUGGUGGCAUGUAGAUUGAGACCCUUUUUUCUGUUUUUUCCUUUUUAGUGUGAGAAAUGAGGUGUAAACCUUAAAACCCUUUUAAGUGGGACUUUGAC